GCGGGGAUUCCCAAGCCAGGUCAAAGGGGUAGGACUGAGGCUCCUAUGGCGUAGGCCUUCGUGGGUUCAAAUCCCACUCCCCGCACCA
rnacentral:tRNA from 2 species